AUGAACGCUGGCGGCGUGCCUAAUACAUGCAAGUAGAACGCUGAAGCUUGGUGCUUGCACCGAGCGGAUGAGUUGCGAACGGGUGAGUAACGCGUAGGUAACCUGCCUGGUAGCGGGGGAUAACUAUUGGAAACGAUAGCUAAUACCGCAUAACAGUAGAUAUUGCAUGAUAUCUGCUUGAAAGGUGCAAAUGCAUCACUACCAGAUGGACCUGCGUUGUAUUAGCUAGUUGGUGAGGUAACGGCUCACCAAGGCGACGAUACAUAGCCGACCUGAGAGGGUGAUCGGCCACACUGGGACGGAGACACGGCCCAGACUCCUACGGGAGGCAGCAGUAGGGAAUCUUCGGCAAUGGGGGGAACCCUGACCGAGCAACGCCGCGUGAGUGAAGAAGGUUGUCGGAUCGUAAAGCUCUGUUGUAAGAGAAGAACGAGUGUGAGAGUGGAAAGUUCACACUGUGACGGUAUCUUACCAGAAAGGGACGGCUAACUACGUG
rnacentral:rRNA from 1 species